rnacentral:misc_RNA from 1 species
UCUUUGCUACUGCUCUGCGUGCGUCGUACAUCUCCGCGCACACGCAGACUUGCAGACAGGCGCGCUGGUCUUCGUCACACCUCAGCUCUACCCCCCCCCCCGGCGCACACGCACACCCCUCACGAUCUCUUCUCAUUCCCUCGUGUUGGCCAUGUCCACCACAGCCCCCGCGACAUCUAUGGGCCCCUUGCCCUACCCGAACGCGCUGCAGAGUCGGCACACCACGACCGAGCAACGUCAGAUCGCCGCCGCCGCCGUGCGCGCCUACCAGAGUACACUCGAGCAAGAAAAGGUUCUCCUGCAAGAAAAUGACGCGCUGCUUAGCGAGGAGGAGGCGGGGCGACUCCAGCGAAGAGUCGACAAUCAAGCUGCCGCUGACGCCACUGCCGCACAAUUUCGCGACCGUGCUUGCAAAGUCGUCGCCAGUGUACCGGGCGAACAGUAUCGCAGCGAAGGUGGCGCUAUCGACAUCUUCCACGCAGCGUGUGACGGUGAUGUAGCAGCUCUCGACGCAUGCCUACGAAGCGCGUCAAACAUCGACGCCCUCGGGCAGCCAGACCCGGCGCGGUACAACGGCUUCCAGUUCAAGCAGCGGUGGCUCUUCCGCGCGCCACCGCUCGUCUUCGCGGCCGCCUUUGGACGUGAGGAGGCGGUGCGCUUUCUGCUAGAGCACGGGGCAAAUCCACACGUGGCGUCCACGACUGGGCUGCGCGCGCAGGAUUACGCGGCGCAGCGCGGCUACAGCGCGAUUGUGUUGAUGUUGACCAGCGGUGCGCCGCAGUGACGGAGAAGGGGUCGGUGCGAGUGGUGGCAGCCCAACGAGCCGUCGAUCCAUGUAUAGUAAUCCUUAUCACCGCUACACAGCACCUUUCUCCGUGUGUGUGUGUGUGUACGAGGGAGGCGGGGCAUCCCCCAACGCACGCCCCACGCGUACGCUCCCCGCGAUGCUGCUUCUUCAGCCUCGCUGUAUUCUUCCCCUCUGCCCGCCCUUUUUGUGCGUCGGUGUGUUAUGGUCCGUAGCGUAUGCCGCUGCGGCUUGCAUGGACAGACGGAAAGAGAGACGCACAUGUGCGCACCACCGGCAUGCACGCAGCAUUUCUGUGUACUCAGAUGUACGUCAGGUGCGUGCACUCCCCCUACCCCAUAGCCUCUGCAUCUCUCUGCCGGCGCCUCUCUUGGCGUGUUUUGAAGUUGCCCAUGUGACGACAACGAGCGAGU